rnacentral:rRNA from 1 species
GACGAACGCUGGCGGCGUGCUUAACACAUGCAAGUCGAACGGAGUAUUCAGCAAUGGAUACUUAGUGGCGAACGGGUGAGUAACGCGUAGACAACCUGCCUUCUAGAUGGGGACAACACCGCGAAAGUGGUGCUAAUACCGAAUAACGCGUGACCUGCCAAGUGGGUCACGCCAAAUGGUAGCCUCGGCCUCUGCUCUGGGAUGGGCCCGCGCCGGAUUAGCUUGUUGGUGAGGUAACGGCUCACCAAGGCGACGAUCCGUAGCUGGUCUGAGAGGACGAUCAGCCACACUGGGACUGAGACACGGCCCAGACUCCUACGGGAGGCAGCAGUGGGGAAUCUUGCGCAAUGGGCGAAAGCCUGACGCAGCAACGCCGCGUGAGCGAAGAAGGCCUUCGGGUUGUAAAGCUCUGUCAGGAGGGACGAAGCCACUCGGGUGAAUAGCCCAGAGGGUGACGGUACCUCCAGAGGAAGCCCCGGCUAACUACGUGCCAGCCGCCGCAGUAAUAC